rnacentral:rRNA from 1 species
GAUGAACGCUGGCGGCGUGCCUAAUACAUGCAAGUCGAGCGAACAGACGAGGAGCUUGCUCCUCUGACGUUAGCGGCGGACGGGUGAGUAACACGUGGAUAACCUACCUAUAAGACUGGGAUAACUUCGGGAAACCGGAGCUAAUACCGGAUAAUAUAUUGAACCGCAUGGUUCAAUAGUGAAAGACGGUUUUGCUGUCGCUUAUAGAUGGAUCCGCGCCGCAUUAGCUAGUUGGUAAGGUAACGGCUUACCAAGGCAACGAUGCGUAGCCGACCUGAGAGGGUGAUCGGCCACACUGGAACUGAGACACGGUCCAGACUCCUACGGGAGGCAGCAGUAGGGAAUCUUCCGCAAUGGGCGAAAGCCUGACGGAGCAACGCCACGUGAGUGAUGAAGGUCUUCGGAUCGUAAAACUCUGUUAUUAGGGAAGAACAAAUGUGUAAGUAACUAUGCACGUCUUGACGGUACCUAAUCAGAAAGCCACGGCUAACUACGUG